UCCAUUUCUUGCAACAUAAACAAUAUAGUUAUCCGAAGUUUUGCUCAAACAGCAUCAAAUUAGCCAAGGAAUCAUAAUACCCACGCUUUUUACACCAUUUCAUUGCAGAAACGGAGAAUUGACCUUCUCACCAUACUAAAAUUCAGCUCAUUACUACAAAUCUAGUACUGCACCGAACGUGCCCCAUUCUAAAUUCGUGAAAAAUUUAUGGAAAAAUUUGGAAGUGCCACUCCCUCAUGGAACAAAUAGUUUUCCGUGCAACCACUGUUUCAAAAAAAACUUUAACUCGAAAACGUUGGCACUCUUGAAACUUGACACUUGAACGUGAGAAAAAUCUAAAGAAAAAGCCAAAAAACUUCUCACCAUCCUCAAAUCAGCCGUCCAAACGUCAUUCGUCCGUCACACACAACCGAAACGCGAGAAUCCCUUUCAUCGCAGCGCGACUGUCGUAUCUAGAGCGUAACACCGAAACCUCCGAAUUCGACAUCUAGACCAGGAACAAUGGCAUCCGCUGUUUCGAAGACUC